UCCCCGUUUAAGCGAGGCAGUCCGUCCAGAGUGCUCCGGUCUCUCGACCGGGUGGCAACAGGACGCAAGGGUUGCGCUCGUUGCGGGACUUAACCCAACAUCUCACGACACGAGCUGACGACAGCCAUGCAGCACCUGUGCACGCUGGUAUUGCUACCUCGUCGGGCUUUCACCCUUCUACUACGUGCAUGUCAAGGCCAGGUAAGGUUCUUCGCGUUGCAUCGAAUUAAGCCACAUACUCCACCGCUUGUGCAGGCCCCCGUCAAUUUCUUUGAGUUUUAAUCUUGCGACCGUACUCCCCAGGCGGCACGUUUAACGCGUUUGCUUCGCCACGGACGGGGUCGAAUCCGCCCACAGCAAACGUGCACCGUUUACGGCUAGGACUAC
rnacentral:misc_RNA from 1 species